UUCUGAAGUAUGGAUGCGCAUUUGAGAA
rnacentral:piRNA from 1 species